ACAGAGGCCCUUUGUUAUGUGAUCCAGCAUCCUGGCCCCAGCAGGGGCCAGAGAGAUGCUCCCAAUCAGAGCAGGAGGGCAACAGACUUCCCCCAGCAGGCAUGUCCAGCAUCUGGUAUUCAGAGAUUGCUGCAGAAAUGCCGGGGACUGAUUUUAACAUUAGAAGAAUGAGAAACUGAGAGAGCCAAAACUGUCAGACCUUUCCAUCCCUAGUUCUAAGUCAGGGGCUCCCAAACUGUGCUCCAUGGACCACCAGUGGCCUGCAAGCUCCCUUCAAGUGGUCCGUGGCAUGCCUGCAUUAAAGAUUCGUAUUGAUUUUUAA